rnacentral:rRNA from 1 species
CCUACGGGAGGCUGCAGUGAGGAAUAUUGGUCAAUGGGCGCGAGCCUGAACCAGCCAAGUAGCGUGAAGGAUGACUGCCCUACGGGUUGUAAACUUCUUUUAUAAAGGAAUAAAGUGAGGCACGUGUGCCUUUUUCUCUGUACUUUAUGAAUACGGAUCGGCGAACUCCGUGCCAGCAGCCGCGGUAAUACGGAGGAUCCGAGCGUUAUCCGGAUUUAUUGGGUUUAAAGGGAGCGUAGAUGGGUUGUUAAGUCAGGUGUGAAAGUUUGGGGCUCAACCGUAAAAUUGCAAUUGAUACUGGCAGUCUUGAGUACAGUUGAGGUAGGCGGAAUUCGUGGUGUAGCGGUGAAAUGCUUAGAUAUCACGAAGAACUCCGAUUGCGAAGGCAGCUUACUAAACUGCCACUGACAUUGAUGCUCGAAGGUGUGGGUAGCAAACAGGAUUAGAUACCCUAGUAGUC